UACUCACAUGGGAAAAUCCUUCCCUGUCCCCCUUUUGGAGGGCAGACUAGAACAUUAUGAUUGGAGGCUGAUGACAGAUGAUUACUGUCUCUUGAAAUCAGGGUUUGAAAUACCUGAUUCCUUCUAUCUAGU
rnacentral:snoRNA from 1 species